rnacentral:rRNA from 1 species
GAACGUGGGCGAACCCCGGCCAUAAAGGCGAGCUGCAGUCCUCAGUCUCCUCCAGUGUAUGCAAUACUAGGCUAUAACACUUCCGAAGAAGCCACAUUCCUAAUACCUUUAUCCACCGAACAAAACUGAUGUUGACCCGUUUAAAGGAAGUACACCGAAGACCGGCUGAAUCCAAUAAACACGACUGACUUCAAUCGUUUCCCUUUUAACAAUUUCACGUACUGUUUAACUCUCUUUCCAAAGUGCUUUUCAUCUUUCCCUCACGGUACUUGUUCGCUAUCGGUCUCUCGCCAAUAUUUAGCUUUAGAUGGAAUUUACCACCCAUUUUGAGCUGCAUUCCCAAACAACUCGACUCGUAGAGAACGUAUCACAGAGCACUGAUGAUUGUGUAAAGUACGGGAUUGUCACCCUCUUUGAUACCCUGUUCCAAGGGACUUAUACACAGUUCAGCACGGAAAACGCUUCUAUCGAUUACAACUCGGACUAUCGAAGACAGCCAGAUUACAAAUUUGAGCUCUUCCCGGUUCACUCGCCGUUACUAAGGGAAUCCUUGUUAGUUUCUUUUCCUCCGCUUAUUGAUAUGCUUAAGUUCAGCGGGUAGUCCUACCUGAUUUGAGGCCAGAGUCAAAGUAAUU